rnacentral:rRNA from 1 species
CAGCAGCCGCGGGAAUACGAAGGGUGCAAGCGUUAAUCGGAAUUACUGGGCGUAAAGCGUGCGUAGGCGGUGAGUUAAGUCUGCUGUGAAAUCCCCGGGCUCAACCUGGGAAUGGCAGUGGAUACUGGCUCGCUAGAGUGUGUCAGGGGAUGGUGGAAUUCCCGGUGUAGCGGUGAAAUGCGUAGAGAUCGGGAGGAACAUCAGUGGCGAAGGCGGCCAUCUGGGACAACACUGACACUGAGACACGAAAGCGUGGGGAGCAAACAGGAUUAGAUACCCCAGUAGUCCCUGUCUCUUAUAC